CCGCGUGAGGGAAGACUGCCUAUGGGUUAUAAACCUCUUUUUUCAGGGAGGAAUAAUGACGUGUACCUGAAGAAUAAGCAUCGGCUAACUCCGUGCCAGCAGCCGCGGUAAGACGGAGGAUGCAAGUGUUAYCCSGAAUCANUGGGCGUAAAGCGUCUGUAGGUUGUUGUUUAAGUCAACUGUUAAAUCUUGAAGCUCAACUUCGAAAUCGCAGUCGAAACUAUUCAACUAGAGUAUAGUAGGGGUAAAGGGAAUUUCCACUGGAGCGGUGAAAUGCAUAGAUAUUGGAAAGAACACCGAUGGCGAA
rnacentral:rRNA from 1 species